rnacentral:rRNA from 1 species
GAUGAACGCUGGCGGCGUGCCUAAUACAUGCAAGUCGAGCGAACAGACGAGGAGCUUGCUCCUCUGACGUUAGCGGCGGACGGGUGAGUAACACGUGGAUAACCUACCUAUAAGACUGGGAUAACUUCGGGAAACCGGAGCUAAUACCGGAUAAUAUAUUGAACCGCAUGGUUCAAUAGUGAAAGACGGUUUUGCUGUCACUUAUAGAUGGAUCCGCGCCGCAUUAGCUAGUUGGUAAGGUAACGGCUUACCAAGGCAACGAUGCGUAGCCGACCUGAGAGGGUGGACCGCCCCACCGGGACUUGAGCACGGGACAGAACCCUUCCGGAAGGAGGCAGUGGGGAACCUUCGGAAAGGGGGAAAAGCUUGCGGAAGAACGGCGGCGGAAGUAAGAAAGGCUUCGGAUCGUAAAACUCUUUUUAUAAGGAAAGAAAAAAUGUGUAAGUAAUAUUGACGGUCUGAAGGUAACCAAACAAAAAGGCCCGGGUUAACUAGGU